UUUGUUUUGAGUAGUUUAAAUUGUGAUUCUUUAGUACAGCGGUUAACCAUACUGUACUACAUAUACGUUAGCUUUGUUGCGUAUUAUCAUUUGAGUGGCCUAGUCCAUAUACAUGGUGUGUAGGGUUGGAUGGGCCUUUUGAGGUCCAAUGUGGUGUGCAUGGUUGGUAGGGCUUCACAUAGCUCCUUUGUGGUGCGAACGGGGGACGAAGAGGUGUUUGGCUGGAUGGGUGGGCUUUUAAUACUUGUUGCAUUCGUACACAUUUGAUUUGGUGAGUGAAUAUGAGUUUAUCUGUCUAUAUUCUGUUUGGUUCUGAGUUUGUAUCCCAACGUAAAUGAGUAUUGAAAUUUCGAUGAUAUGAUAGUUUAAAAUGUUUUGAAUUUGUUAAAACGUAAUUGGUGUGAUCAAAUGAAUGUUUCGUAUAUCUGACAGUAUGUGACUUGAUCUUUAGUCACUUGCUAUUUAGUUUGGUUUCGGAUUCACAUUGAGCUCAUGUAGCUCAUCGCUUAGUUUUUCCCUUUCAGGUACCCUCUCGAUUUCUGUAGCUAGACUUGGAAUGUCGGAGGUCUCAGAUUUUAAAAUGAACUAUUUGGUUUCCUUCUCAAUUCUUAUUUUUGUUAAAUUAUUUUGGAUUGUAAUUAAUUUUAUGAACUGUAAAAAAAGGGUUUAUUCAGAUUUCUGCAUAAUGCUAUCAUGGAUAGAAUUUUUCUUUUGAAACUGCAAAACUAAGUUUUUGAACACUUUAAUGCAUCUUGAGAAUCUCUGUUUUAAAAUGGAUAAACGUCCUUUUUUUUAAUUUGGAAAAAUGUGUCUGUAACGAAAUUUUAGAUAAUAUAUUUUGUAAAAUUUUUCUACGAUCGCUUCGGUGAUCAAUGUGACCUCUGAAAUUUGGUUGACACUUCUAGGUCGGGUUUUGGGGCAUUACACAUCAUCUCACAGGAGGUUUUCAUUCUAUGAAGAGUCAAAAAAAGAACAAAAGAUGGUUGGCUGUCAAAAUUAAUAUGGAAAAGGCAUAUAAUCAUGUUCGGUGGGAGUUUAUUGAGGCUUCUUUACAAGCUGUAAGUAUCCCAAAUUUUCUCAUUAAUGUAGUUAUGUUUGCUAUUACUAACUCUACCUUGCAGAUUUUUUAGAAUGGCGUUCCUACACAAAAAUUUAAGUCGGUUAAAGGGGUUCGUCAAGGUUGCCCUCUAUCUCCAUGCUUAUUUUUCUUAUGUAUGGAAUGGCUUGGUCACAACAUUCAGGCUCACAUUAACUCAAAACUUUGGGUUCCAAUUAGAUUGACUCAUUUGGGCCCACCUCUUUCUCACAUUUUUUUUGUAGAUAACCUCAUUAUUUUUGGUCAAGCCAAUAUUCAACAAGCCCACGUUCUCAAAGGUGUAUUGAACAGUUUUUGUGAAUUUUCUAGACAUUGAAUAAAUGCACAAAAGACCAACAUGAUUUUCUCUAAGAGGGUUGAUGAGGAUUUAGCUUGGGAGAUUAGUAAAUUUUUGGGGUUUUAUAAAGUGAAUAAUCUAGGAACUUAUUUAGGUGUCCCACUCUUCCAUGAGCAAGUUACAAAUGGCACCCUAAGGUUCAUGGUGGACAAGAUUUGUUGCAAGUUGAAUAGUUGGGAUGCGUGGAAACUUUCUCUGGCUAGAGGGGCUACAUUUGCUCAAUCAAUUAUUCUAAUGAUAUUAAGUUUUUUUACGCAGUCCAUGAUGAUUCCCAAAGGUAUUUGUGAUGAGAUUGAGUGUUUGGUAAGACAAUUUAUAUGAGGACCUUCUAAUAGAGGUAAAAAAUGGUGUUGGUUUGUUGGGAUUCGGUUUGUCAGUGAUGACUGACUGGAGAUUUGAGGUUAAGGUAGGUACAGGAUCAUAACAUGGCUUUCAUGAUGAAAAUUGACUUUAAAAUCAUAUCAGGCUUAGAAAUUAUGUGGGUUCAUGUCCUCAAGUAUAAAUAUAGAGUCUAGAAUGGCUUACCAGAAACCUUGGCUCAAAGUAGUGGUUCCUUUCUUUGGACAAGUCAGGCGAAAGUUUGGCCACUCAUUUGAGAAACUUAAUUUGGUCAAUGGGAGAUGGCUGCAGUAUUAAAUGCUAGAAAGAUCUUUGGAUUCCUACCGUUGGUCCUCUCCGUAAGCUUAUCCCAUCUCAUUUUAAAUUGGCGAUGGAUUGCCCACUUACAUGGUUACCCAAAAGAGAGUGGAAACUUUCGUGGAAAUUCCAGGGACCUUAAAUGGUUAAAUACUUCAUUUGGCUUGCCAUCCAGCAACGUCUGCUAACUAAUGUGGAAAGAAUGAGGAGGCGUAUUAGUAUGGAUAGUUCUUAUGGGUACUGUAAUUUCGAGGUUGAAGAUGUGGUACAUGCCUUAAGAGAUUAUCCUAUAGCUAGAGAUAUUUGGGAGAUUAUUGUCCCUAAGGAUAAGAUACCUCUAUUCUUCUCACGAGACCUAAUAGAGUAGGGUGUGCAAAAUUUGGGUAAAACCGAAAAAAUUCAGUUAACCGAUAGAAUUCAAUUAAUCAGUCGGUUAACCGAAUUAAUUCGGUCGGGGGUCGAUUAAUAAUUUUUUGAGUUUUCGGUUAACAGUUUCGAAACCGGUCGGUUAACCUAAUAUUUUCGGUUAACAUAAAAUAUUAAUAAAUAAAUUUAUAAUAUAUAAAUAAUCCACUAUUUAUUCAAACUCAAUUCAACAUAAACCCAAAACCCAAUCUAAUAUAUAGUAACCCAAGUACCUAACCCAACCUAAUCAUAAAAAUUACAAAUAAUGUAAUAAAUAAAAAUAAAAAUCUAAAAAUAAAAAUAAAAAUAAAAAUAUAAAAAAUAUAAUUUUAUACAAAUAAUUCGGUUAAUUCAGUUAAUUCGGGUAAUUCGAUUAAUUCGGUUAAUUCGAUUAAUUCGGUUAAUUCGGUUAAUUUUAUACUUAUUUUAACCAAAAAUAAAAAAUAUUUUUUUUGGUUAAUUCGGUUAACCAACUGAAUUAACCAAAAAAAUUUCGGUUCGGUUAAUUUUUUUUGAAAAAAUUUCGGUUCGGUUAACGGUUAAAAAUUUUGAAGGGUCGGUUAAUUCGGUUAAUAUUAUUUCGGGUCGGUUAACCGAUUGAACACCCCUAUAAUAGAGUGGCUAGCUUUGAAUAUGCAAAAUCAUCAUCAAAUACAUCCAGGGGAUAUUGAUUGACAAAGUUUCUUUUGUCUUACUGUGUGGCGGAUAUGGAAAAAUCAUAAUUUACUUUUAUUUCAGGGUAUUCCAUGGAGUGCAAAUGAUAUUAUCAAAGUAUCCUAUAGUUAGGCUAAACACCAUGGACUCUAUAAUAAUAAAGCAAUUAAGGAGGCUUUGCUAUCCCAAUACCACUUUCGAUCUUGGGAGAUAAUUGGGUUUGCUUAAGAUCUGAAGGUUUUGUUUAUGAGGGAACCGGUUUUGUUGCAGUCAGAGGUGUUUCUUGAUACUGGAAUGGAGGAUGGAUUCUAGGUUACAACAUGUACUUGGGCUUUCGCUCUGUUAUAGAAGCUAAAUUUUGGGGCAUCUUAGAUGGAGUAACGCUUCUUUUGGAGUGGAAAUAUGAUAGCAUGAUAAUUCAAAUUGACAACACGGAGAUAGUCGUAGCAAUUCAAAAUGAGGCCCAUAAUGAGUUAGACUCUACUCUGAUUAAGAGAAUUCACCAAAAUUUGUCCAAAGUAAGACAUUGGGGCAUUCAACAUAUCCCUAAGGAACAUAAUGGAGAACCUGAUGGAAUCACAAGACAUGUUAAAGAUAGGAGAAAAGUUAUUCAAAUUUUUGAAGUUUCCCCAUUGGGGAUCUAAUUCUUUUUUAUUGUAAUCUUUUCAGUUUAUUUCGCUUAUUUCACUUAUUUCACAGAAGAAAAGUACCCAAAAUCAUAAUUAAUUAACACAUUUUAUCUAUUUAUAAGAUGUUAAUUAAAAUUUUAUUUAUUUAUGAAUUAUUUAUAAUUAAUUAUUGAGAGAAUUUUACUUUCAAACCAAUGAAAACAUUUAUAUCUCAUUUAGUUAAUAGUGACAUUAAUAUUUCAACGUCCCGUCUAAAAAUUGAAUAUGUAAUAGUAAAUUUAGGGAUCUCACACGGGCAUGUGUUUUGGACACACGGCUAUGUCCGAUGGGCACACAGGCAUGUGAGACCCUCACAUGGCCGUGUCUACCCUGUACUCUAUUUUAGCACAAAUGGGCAGAGACUUACACGGUCUGUUCAAACGGCCAUGUCCCUAGCUCACAUGAGCGUGUGGCUCAGCCACAUGGUCGUAUGCCUCCUCCCACACGAGCGUAUUGACCUCUACACUGCCUAGGCAUUUCUACAUGACCAUAGCACACGACCAUGUGGUUCUAAGUCACCAAUUUUAGUUCUGUGUAUGUUUUUAUUUGAAAGUGUGUCUAUGUGUUUCGAACCUUGGCUAGGAUUUAUUAAGGGUAGUUAAGACUCUGAUCUGGGCUUCGGCUUAUGUAUUAUUUGUGACUGUUGUGUGAGAUGUCUGAUUCUUAACCUAGUUAGCUAGGUGCAUGUGCAUGUUUGUUUUUAUCUGACUAUCUGUCAAUGUUUUCAUUGUUUCUGUGAGGUUGUACACAUACAUGCACUUGUAUAAAGUAAUUUUUGGUUUGGUUGUGAAGGGAAGGGAGAUUGAUUAUGAUCUGAUCUGGUAGCCUAACUGCAACAUGUUUGUAUAGCGGUUUACCGGAAUGCAUUGUAUUGCAGAUACGCUAGCUUUACUGCGUAUUAUUAUCUGAGUAGCUUAAUUGACAUACAUGGUGUGUAGGGUUGGAUGGGCCUUUCAAGAUCCUAUGUGGUGUGUUUGGUUAGAUGAGCUUAUACAGCUCUUUCGGGCUGUGAUUGGGGGACGAAGAGGUGUGUUGGCUGGAUGGAUGGGUUUUUAUUACUGGACUACAUUCAUACGCAUCUGUUUGUGUGUUCUAGGUGUAAGAAUAUUUGACCGUAUUCUAUUUGACAGAAUAACACUUGUGACUGAGUGUUUGUGUAUGACAUGGUGUGCUUGAAUUGUUAUGUUCUGUUGGAACGUUGAUUCCAAGUUUACUUUCUGAUUCUGUGUAUAUCUAUAAGUAUGUUUCGCUAUUGAAUUAAGUUUCGUAAUUCUAUUAUUAGUCACGUGUCGAACUCACACUGAGCUUGUGUAGCUCACUCCCUUAGUGUUUCCUCUUUCAGGUACAUUUCUGAAUUCUGAUGCUGGACUCAGCAUGCCAGAGGUCUUGGAGUUUCAUGUUUUAUAUAAUUAGUUUAAGUACUGUUUUGAAAACUAUGGUAUGAAUUUUUGUAUUAAAUACAUGUAAGCAUUAUUUGGACUGAGGUUUUUGUAAUACCGAGACUUUAUGUCUGAGAGUUAUUAUGGAACUUAAAUACUGUAAUGUUUUUCAGUUUAAAAUUUCCCACGAUCACUUCGGUGAUCAAUGUGACCUUCGAAAUUUGGUCUAAACUCCUAGAUGGGUAUUGGGGUGUUACAAAGCAAAAUACGAGAAUAAAAUUCUAAAUCCAAACAGUUCAAAAUAUACAGAGAGUCCAAAAUUUACAAAACUCUAAAAUCAAAAUCAAAAUAAAUCAAAUUUACAAAACUACGAUAAUAAUCGAGCUUUCGAUUUCACCAAUCCACCUGAGGAUUACCUGAAAAUAUUAGUCAAACAGAUAGUGAGUUUUCGAAACUCAGUGUAUAACGAAUAACUUUAAAUAGCUAAUGUGUAUCAAAUAGAUUUAUAAGAAAUAGAAUCAUAUCAGAGUAAUACAGAUACAAAUAUAUAUAAUUCUACCGUCAUUCUGUACACACCAACUCCGACCAUCCCAAAACACCAUGAGGGGUAUAAAACACCCACCCAGCCGUACACAGCGUUUAGUGUCGAUAAGACACUUUCUAGAAUAUAUGCAGCUGAGCUGCCAGUUAAUAGCUGAAUUAUUGCCUUUUCAGUACUCCACAAGAUAUAUAUAUAACCCAUCCCAAAUGCAAAUACAUAACGUAACAAAUAUCAGAUAUAUUUUCUGUAUAUACACAUGGCAUAACAGACACAGAACGUACAUAGCAUUUUCUGGUUUUCUUUUAACCUAUUACACCGUUUUCUCAUCAUAUGAUGUUUCAGUUAUACAAGUAGAUAUCGAAAAUCAUGCUUACAAUUGACCAAAUUUCAUAUUUUACAGUCUAUUUGAACACAUAUCGACCCCACGGGAGGGCCACGAUCAAUCAGAACGACGUGUACGGCUCUAGAAAAAAUUUUAGAAUUUUGGGCUCACAUGCUCGUGUGGCCCCAUACGCCUGUGUGGUCCUCACGGCCCAAAUAGUCCAGACCAUGAGUCACACACAAUCCAGCACGCAGUUUGUCACAUGAUUAUGUGUCACACACGGCCUACCACACGGCCGUGUGAAGUCGAUUGUAAGCUUUAUUGGUGUCGAAACCAUCUUUCAAAAUUUAAAAUUUAGUGAAAAUGGGGAAAUUGACUUUUUGAAAAUAAAACAUGGAGUCACCACCAAUCUUUUGUUUUGGUGUGAUCGGGUCACCAAAGAAUUUGGUUAUUUUAAUAAAACAUUUUUGGUUUACCAAAAACAACGAUUAUGGUCUACGAAAAUUUUAGAAAACGGGCUCGGGAGUCGGUUACGUAUGAGGAAGGGUUAACACCCUCACUACGCCCAAAAUUGGUACCAAAUUGAUUAAAUACUGUCCUUAUGUCUAAAAUUAAAAAUGUUUUUGAAAUGUGGUUCUUUUUUAAUAACAUUUGAAUAACCCGAGUUGGUUGCCAAAAAUUUUCUUGUUUCGACGUCCGAAAGUUUAUAAUUUGAAAUUAACAAAAGGAUGCCCAACCAUUUGGUCCAACAAAAAAUCGAAAUCUAGCACAGUAGAGCACGAUUCCUUGAAUUUCUGAACAUCGAACGUUGCCUCACCUUAGAAAAUACGAGUGAAAUUCCAAAGAGAUAUUCGAUUAUUUUGAACAAAUGGGAAAUUGCAACCCAGCACGAUAGGGUACUAUUCCCCGAAUUGCCAAACAUUGAAUAUCGCCUUCGUUUUAAAGGGUUUUGUGAAAACCUAAAGGAAUAUUCGAUUGUUUUGAACAAACGAGAAAUCACAACCCAGCACGAUAGGGCAUGAUUCUCGAAUUAUCAAACACCAAGUAUUGCCUUCGUUUUAAAGGAUUUUUAGAAGAUAUGAGUGAAAUUUUGAAGGGAUAUUCGAUCAUUUUGAGCAAACGCAAAAUUGCAACCCAACACGUUAAGGCACUAUUCCGCGAAUUGCCAAAUAUUGAAUCUCGUAUUCGUUUUAAAGAAUUUUUAAAUGAAUACUUAUAAAACUAGCUUAAAACGUAUUAAUGCAUUUUUUUGAAGUGAGACGAAAUCAAUCAUAAAAUUUGGAUUUUAUAAAACCACAUUUCGAAAAUCAAAAGGAAAACGAUGAAUGGGGUAAUAUGCUCAUGAGAUACAAUCAAUUAACGAACUAAAAAUUAAGUAUAACUAACCUAAAAAAUAUAAUCCGAUCACAAUCAUGCAUGGGAAAAUAAUUGACAUAACAAUAUCAAAACAAAAAUUAAAAUAACAAUGGAUCGCACAAAACAAAAUAAAGCAAUACACGAUAGUAUGUCACAAUAAUACACAAAACCUAAUUUGGUAUAAUCAAUGCAAGAUAUACGAAAUAAGAUAAGAAUAAAGAAAAUGCGGUAUAAGACAACUUUAUAAUAAUAACGAAUUAAUGAACACAUAAUGUACAUACUACCUGAGUGGACUAAUUUAUAUAAAAAAAAAACUAGGAAUAUAAUUCUUGAAAUAAAUAUUAUAGCAUAAAACAUUUGAAUUGAAUAAUAUGUAGAAUAUUUUAAACACAAAUUCAUUUAAAAAGAAUUUAACAAUAUACACAAUAGUUUGAAUAAUAUAUAUAAUAUGAAAGAAUAAUAAAGCACAUGAUAAGACGUAAUGUACAUAAUAGAUCCAUAAGACAUGCACAUAUAAAUAGGUUUAAGAACGAUUAUUCGUAGGAAUAGUAUGAAAAUAAUAAUGCAUAUAAAAUUAACUAGUCUAUCUUAUGUACAUACCAUUAUACUCAAAAGUAUUUUAAAGAGAUAAUAAAUAAAUAUUAGAAUAACCUAAUAUAAAGAAGCAAUAAUUUUAAGUACAAAAAUGAAGUUCUUGAAUAAUCUUACAUAUAUAUAGAAACAUUAGAUGAAUCUUAAAGCAAGAAGCAUUUUAAAAAAACCUAUUAAAAUAAUGUAUGUACAUAUAUACACGGAAAAAUUUAAAUGCGACGUUAUACAAAAUGUGUAGAUAAUAUAAUGAAAAGAAUUUCAAAAUAACUACACAAAUAAGAAAAGCUAAAUUAUUAAAAUAGAUUAACACUUAUAAGAAUAUUAAAUGAAUUUUAAAAUGGCAAAUUGCUCAAAUAACAAAAAUUCAACUAAAAUACUAUAUAUGUACAAAUAUAUACAAAUGUUCAAAUAAAAUACCGUACAUAAUAUUAACAUAUCAUAAUAUGAAGAUUUUAAAAUAGAAAAUUUUAAAACAAAGUAAAAUUAUUAAUGUUAUUUCAACAGAAUAAAAAGAUUAAAGAAACGAAUUAUCAAGAUAAACAAUGCAUGGUGUUGAUAGAAAACUAAAUUAAAAUGAAUGUAAAGUAAUAGAGAUAAUUUAUAAAUAAAACAAACUACUAAUGUUAAAAUAAGGACCCAUGCACAACACGCGCGAAUUUACAGGAACCAAAACUGAUAAUUUCCCCGAUCCCUAAACACUGCGUUGAGAGACGGGCCAAAAUGUAAAAACGUCCAAAUUAACGAGCUAAUUUAGAAACACGUGAUAGAACAGAUAAGGUGCGAUUGGAUGCUUAUGCAAAUGCAGAGGACUUAAUGCAAAAUUAACCCUCCAAGGCCAAACGCGCGGAUCUUGUCCGAACAUGGGCCAGGUCAUCGGGUCGGUGUGUCAUGAAACGACGCCGUUUCAACACCAAAUCUCACGGCUCAAAACGACGUCGUAUGAAACACAUAUAUACACAAAGAUUUACCCUAAAAAGGCUUCAUUUGGCAGAUUUAAAACUUCUUAAUAAUCCCUUCUUUCAAAAUCCCUUUGACCCACUCCCUUCUCUCGGCCAGCCUGCGAGCGACGGUGGAGUCAAGUGUGCCUCGUCUCCGUCACGGCUCCAAACAGAACCCUACGAAUCCGCACGCCUCUGAACCGGAGAAGUGGCCACCGACUAGGUCGACGCCGGUCAACGGGUGAGAAAGCCUUUCCCUUUUUGAUUUUUUUUAAAUACAAAACAAAUGACCCAAAAACUCUUUUUGUGUUUUGAUUCCUUUCUUUUAAUUUCUAUACAUGUAUGCGUAAGAAAAGAACCUCCUCUUUCUGAAAUAUAUAAAAAAGGAAAAAAACGAUGAACAAAAGAGACACCUUUAAGGUUUUUCUUCCGAUUGUUUCUUCUGGUAUUUUCUUUUUUUAUUUCAGUGUUCGUAACCAAAAAACAACGAAGUUUCCAGGCCUUUAUAGCCGAAAGGAAAGAAAAUCAAAAUCAAAAAAUACAAUUUCCAUCCUUUCCCUUUUGCUGUGCUGUGGUUUUUUGUUUUCUUUUGCACGUACGGAGUGCGUGGCGGCGUACGGAGGCUGUGCUGGCAUACGGGGGUUGCUGGUCGUACGGGGCGAGGGCUGGGGCGUGCGUGGGGAGCUGAGCGGCGCCUAGGGUUUUUCUUCCCUCCUUUGGCUGAAAAAUGUUUAGGAUAAUCGGGCUAGUUGGGCUUUAGGGCAUUUGGGUCUAGGUUUGGGCUUUAAUGAUGGACUAUUAGUUUGGUUUUAUUCUUUGGACUUUUGGUUUAAUAAUUUAUUAUUUAUUUUGUAUUUAUUAUGGGUUUCUAGUGGACCCGGGCCAAAAUUGAUCACUACAAUUGGCUUUUUUCAAUUGUUGUUUUACUUGUUUUUCGAUACACACCUGAUUCAAUUUUGAUGUAGGCACCCCCACGAGCCUACCAGAACCUAAAUACAUCGAUCAAAACACUAAAUCAAUAAUGAAAAUCAACAAUUUGAAGAACCAAGUCCUCGAUUAUCCUCAAAUAGCAAAACCAACAACCCAAUCUAAACCAUCCCAAAAAAAAAUACACGCCAACCCAUACCACUUAACGAAUAGGAACAAGGUGAAAAUCAAAUUACCGGAGGAACACCAAUCGUCUCACGAGUCCCCACUUACAACACACGAAAGAAAAACACACAAUUAUAAUCAAUUCUAAAAGUCGAUUGCACAUCGCAAUUUUAAUUCUCACACCCAAAACUCAAACUUAUUUAAGAUAGAACACCAAAUUACCUGACAAACAACCAGCAACAGAGUGAAAAGCAGAAUCACAGUAAGGAAAUAGACCAAAAUUAAGAAUAAAAAUUAAAUGGCAACCCAACGAUCAUUGAAAAAUUAAAGAGCAGGAACAAAAGAAGAAAAACAAGGCAAAAGCCAAAGUGGAAUCACUAGGAGGGAAGAAUGAUGACAUCACAAUUGAGGGAUUGAAAGAACCAAAUAAAAAAAAAACAAAAAAGAAAAGGAAUGUGGGAAAUAAAAAAAAUAUUAUUUGCUUUUAAAACAAAAACAUAAAUACUCAAGAUACAUUCCUAAAAGCAAGGUCUGCAAUCUAUACCCACAACUAAUCAGAUAUUAACUAGAGUCCUUAAUUUGACAAAACAUAUAAUAUUCCCACUUACUCGCAAAAAUAUUCAAAUCCAAGACUUUAAAGACACACUCAAAGCACUGAGCCUCUAAAACAGAUUCUUAUUUUUUGACAAAAUUUAAUAAAAUAAAAGUUAAUAAUUUUGGGGCAUUACAGAAUUAAUAAGAUUGGAUUUUUACAGAGACUAAAUAUUAAAUUCUAAAAAGCAUAGGAUUAAUAGCAUAUUUUAACCAAUUUAUUAUAAUAAAAAAAUAAAAGAAUAUAUAGUAAUUAAAAAUUUUAUAUUUUCUUAUUUUUUUUAAUGGAUUAUGAGGAGUAAUGUGAAGAAAAUUUAGGAGAAAUUUCGAAAAUUCGCUUCUUUGUAUGUGUUUUAAAAGAAGACAUUUAUUUUGAAAUUUCUUAGACUUGACACCAAUGAAUUUAAUGUAGGAGGAGUGUGCGAGGGUUGAAACAUAUUAAAGCAGGCUCUCUGGGCUAUUUUAUCAUUUCAACUUCCCUUAUUCCGUCUUGCUAUCAUGAACUACAACACUUUCUUUCAUCUUCUUUUAGCUUUAUUCAUACCAUGUUCCGUACUUUGCUUGGCUACGACAGCCAGGAAUCUCAAUUCCGAUCAGUUUACACUUCUGGAGUUUAAGGAUCGCAUUACCCGUCCUCAAAAUAUCUUGACGAACAAUUGGACAGUCUCUACCUCUGUUUGCAACUGGAUUGGUGUGGCAUCCUCCAUAAAAGAGUUAUAGCUUUGAAUCUUACAAGCAUGAAUCUUAGGGGUACCAUACCUCCACACCUUGGAAACCUUUCAUUUCUACUUUCUCUCGACUUGAGUAGCAACAAAUUCUAUGGCCAUCUGCCUAAAGAAUUGUGCUAAUUGCAUCGUUUGAGAAUCAUUCGAUUAAACUACAACGGUCUUAAAGGGAAAAUUCCAUCAUGGCUUGGGAACUUACACAAAGUUCGAAGCCUGGAAAUGGAAAAUAAUAACUUUACAGGCACAAUCCCUCAAACACUUGUUAACAUAUCCAAUCUAGAGAUACUGAACUCGAGAUUCAAUCAAUUAUCUGGCCAGGUUCCUUCUUCCAUCUUCAAGAUUUCUUCUCUGAAGGUUAUUGAUCUCUCCAGCAGUAGCCUAUCAAGUAGUUUACUUAAUGAUAUGUGUCAACAUCUUCCCAAGCUUGGAAGGCUUUACUUGAGUUGGAAUGAAUUAUCUGGUAACAUUCCAUCAAAUAUAGCAAAUGCAACAGCCUUCAAAUUUUGUCGUUGUCCAUUAAUCAAUUUGUGGGGAUCAUUCCAAAAAGCAUUGGAAAUCUAACACGACUCGAACAUUUAUAUUUGGGGUCAAAUAAUUUAGAAGGUACUGGAUUUUUUUAAUUUCUUUAAUUUAAAGCAUUUUUUUUUAUAGAAAAGCUUGAUUUGUUGAUAACAAAAGUGAGAGCUUUUUAUUUGAUUCAAUGCAAAAUAGUUAAUUUGAUAAAAAAAUGUAUGCUUAAAUAUAUUAAAAUCUAAUAUCUCCAAAUUACUGUAGAACAGAAAAGAAAACCUCUUUGACUUAUGCUAACAAAAUAGGUAGUUUAACACCUUAGAUUUUUCAACUAUGUCUGCAGGUAAGAUACCAUCAAGUAUUGGUGAAUGUUACAAGCUUCAGAUUUUAAAUUUAGCAGCAAAUCAAUUCACUGGGCUCAUUCCAAAAAGUAUUCUUAAUUCAACUAUGCUUCAAGAAAUAUAUCUAUCUAACAACAAUUUAGGAGGUAUGUUUUUCACUUCAAUUUUUUUUUCCGGAGUCCAAAAACAUUCUGUUUAAUUUGUUUCUUCUAUUUUUGCUCAUAUACUUUAUAAGAAUUGAUUUAUUUUAAAAUUUAUAUGCAUAUACAUUUAUAUACAUAGAUUCGAAUACCAUGCACAUGAUUAUAAAAUUUUAAUUUUUUUAAUUAGUUUUUAAAUAAAAUUUUUAAAUUAUUCUAAUUAGUUUUUUUAGUUUGUUAUUACGUUAAACAUAAUUAAAAUAUAUUAAUUUAUUUAAUAGUUCAAAUGUAAUAAUAAAAUUUUAAGCCAUAAUUAAACAUAUGUAUUAUAUUUAAUAUGUAAUUAAAAAAGAACAACAUUUUUCAAAAUAAAAACUAAUAAAUAUAAUUAAAAUAUAUCAAUUAUUUUUUGUUAAUAAAAAAUAGUGCUCAUAGAAAAUUCAUGAUCAUCAUUAAAGCAUCUGUAUAAAAUGUAAAAUUUGAUAUAUUCACUAUUUAAUUUUAUUUUUUUAUAUUUAAUAAAUUGAUCAUAAAAGUUUGAAAUGAUAUAUAAUUAAUAUAAAUAUAAUAGAUUAGAUAAAUAUAUUAUUUAUAAAAUUUAUAUAUAAAUUAUAAAGUCGUUUGUUAUAUAAAUAAUUAAAAUUUACUAUUUAAAAAUAAAGUACUCUUUUACUUAAUCAGAACAUGUAUACUAUUAUUUAACCAAAUUUUUAUUUAAAUUUUUUAUACAUUUUAAUUUUAUUAUGUACAUUUUAUUACCUCCAUGAAUCAUAUAUAUUAAUAAUGUUAUUGAUUGAGAUGGUGUCACAAAUUAACUCGACACCAACUUAGGAUUAACAACAACACCAUGAUAAAUAAUUACAUUAAUUUAAUAUUAUUAAUCUAAUUUAUUAAUAUGUUUAAAUUUCAUUUUAUUUACAAAUUAAUUUACUUUUUUUAAUAUCGUACAUAUAUCAUGUAUUAUUAUUAAUUAGUUUUAUUAUAUUUUUAACUAUGUGUGCAGGUAGUUUGCCUGAUAAUUUGUGUCAACAUCUUCCCAAACUUAAUGGCUUUCCUUGGAACAGAAUGAAUUAUCUGGUAAUAUUCCAUCAAGUAUAGGCGAAUGUUUCAAGCUUCAGAUUUUACGUUUAGCAGCAAAUCAGUUCAUUUUUAAUUCAACUAUGCUCCAAGAAAUAAUGCUACCGAACAACAGUUUAGAAGGUAUGUUUUUCACUUUAAUUUAUUCCAAACUCCAAAAACAUUGGGUUGGAUUUGUUUCUUCUUUUUUUGGUCGUACAAUUUAUCAUUUUAAUUUGAUAAAAAACAACAAUAAGAUUUAUAUGAAUUGAUUUAUUUUAAAAAUUUUAAUUCCAUUAAACUUAAAAAAGUAAUUAAUUUUUUAUUGCAUAAACCAAUCUAUUUUAUAUAAGUAAAAAAUAUUACAAAUACUUUAUCUCUGGAAGAAAAGAAACCAACGUGGUAAAUAUAUUUAUUUUAAAAAUGAAACAACUAUAUGUAUACAUAUACAUGUAUAUAAUGUUUUAAACAUUUUAUUUUUUAAUUAACUUUUAACAAUGGUUUUUUAAUUAUUCUAAUUAGUUUUUUUAGUUUCUUAUUUAAAUGUUGAAUAUAAUUAUAAUUUAUUAAUUUAUUUAAUAGCUCAAAUAUAAUAAUGAAUUUCAAGCCAUAAUUAAAGCAUAUGUACAAUAUUUAAUAUUUAAUAUAAUUUUUACUUCAUGUAAUUAAAAAAUAAUAAUAUUAUUAAAAAUAUAACUAAUAAAUAUAAUUAAAAUCUAUCAAUAAUUUUAUUUAAUUUAAAAAUAGUGCUAAUAAAAAAUUGAUCAUCAUUAAAGUAUAUGUAUAAAAUAUAAAAAUUGAUAUAUUAAAUUAUUCACUAUUCAAUUUCAUUUUUUUCUUUUCUUAAAAGUUAAUAAUUUGAUGUCAAAAGUUUGUAGAUGAUAUAUAAUUAAUAUAAAUAUAGUAUAUUAGAUUAUAUAUAUUAUUUAUAAAAUUUAUACAUGAAUUAUAAAGUUACUUGUUAUAUAAAUAAUUAAAAUUUGCUAUUUGAAAUUAAAGUUUUUUUUUUACUUUUUGGGUGAAUGUGAAUAUUUACUGUUAUUUAAGUCUCUAAAUGAGUUGAUGUCAUGAGUCAAUUCGGUAUUAACUUGGUUAGAGAAAUUGUAAAAAUAUCAUUUCGUAUUUAAAAUAAGUUAUAUUAUUUGAGGGUAUUUUCUUUUUAUUUAAAAAAAAAGGUUUAUGGUUUGAGUCAAAUUUUAUUACGCACACUUUAUUACUUGCAUGAAUUGUAUAUAAUAAUAAUGUUGUUGAUUGAGGUGAUGUCAGUGUUAGAAUUAAGUGACCCGAAUUCUUAUUUAAAUAAAAUACGAUGGAAAAUAAAAUAAAAGUAAAAUCCAUAUAAAACUAUACUUCUUUUAUUUUAUUUUAGAAUAAGGUUUUUUAAACCUUAUUAAACUCCAUCUAUUUUAUAUUGAUUAGGAUAAGGUGUUUCAAUCCUACUAGAAUAUGGCUUUACAAGCCUAUAAAUAGACAUAGUCUAUUCCUCUUGUAUUGAUUCAAAUUUUCGACAUAGUGAAUUUUCUUCUCCUCUGCCCGUGGUUUUUUCCCGAAAGAGUUUCCACGUAAAAUUUGUGUUUUCUUUAUUUUAUUUUCUUUAUUUUAUUUUAUUUUUUUCACAAAUUGGUAUCCGAGCUUCCGGGUUGUUCAUUUCAAUCACAGUAAUGGCGUCUUUGAAGUAUGAAAUUCCGCUGUUGGAUUGUAACACCAGAUUUGCAUUGUGGCAGAUUAAGAUGCAAGCAGUUCUUGCGCAGAUGGAUCUAGAGGAUGCCCUGCUAGGGUUAGAUAAGAUGCCUUCGACAUUAACAGAUGAAGAGAAGAAGCGUAAGGAUCGAAAGGUGUUUACACAAUUACAUUUGCAUUUGUCCAACGAAAUUUUGCAAGAUGUGAUGAAAGAGAAGACUGCCGCUGCAUUAUGGAAGAGGCUAGAACAAAUAUGUAUGUCGAAAACUCUAACAAGCAAGUUGCAUAUGAAGCAGCGUCUUUAUGCUCGUCGUUUGGAGGAAGGUGCAUCUGUACACGAAUACUUAACAGUGUUUAAAGAAAUUCUCUCAAACUUGGAGGCCAUGGAGGUUCAGUAUGAUAAAGAAGAUCUAGGGUUGAUUCUACUUUGUUCGUUGCCCCCGUCUUAUUCAACCUUUAGAGACACGAUUUUAUAUAGCCGCGAGUCUUUCAUAGUUGAUGAGGUUCAUGAUUCUUUAACCUCGUAUGAUAAGAUGAAGCAUCUUGUGGUUAAACCCAACUCUCAGGGAGAGGGUCUCAUUGUUCGUGGGAGAUAAGAUCGAAAUGCUGAUGAUGAUCGUGGUAGGACACAGGAACGGAAUCUUCAUGGUAAAUCUAAGGGUAGAUCGAAGUCUUCAAACAGAGGUAAAACUUGUAACUUCUGCAAGAAGAAAGGGCACAUUAAAUCUGAGUGCUAUAAGCUAUAAAAUAAGAUUAAAAGGGAGGCUGCGAAUCAAAAGGGAAAACAACUAGAAAAUUCCGGUGAAGCUGAUGUUGUAGAAGACUACAGCGAUGGUGAACUUCUAGUCGCUUCUAUCAAUGAUUUUAAAGUAAGCGAGGAGUGGAUACUUGAUUUAGGCUGCACCUUCCACAUGAGUCCCAAUCGGGAUUGGUUUACAACUUACAAAACAGUGUCUGAAGGUGUUGUUUUGAUGGGAAAUAAUGCUUCGUGUAAAAUCGCAGGUGUUGGAACAAUUAAAGUUAAGAUGUUUGAUGGAGUUGUCAGAACACUUAGUGAUGUACGGCAUGCUCCAAAAUUGAAAAGAAAUUUAAUUUCAUUGAGUACUCUUGAUUCAAAAGGGUACAGAUACACAGCUGAAAGUGGGGUUUUAAAUAUUUCCAAAGGGUUCCUUGUUGUGAUGAAAGGGCAGAGAAAAAUUGCCAAGUUAUAUAUUUUGCAAGGUUCUACUGUUACUGGUGAUGCAGUUGUUGCUUCCUCUUCCUUGUCAGAUGAUGAUAUUACUAGACUUUGGCAUAUGCCCCUAGGGCAUAUGAGUGAGAAUGGCAUGGCAGAAUUGAGCAAAAGAGGAUUUCUUGAUGGGCAAGGAAUUUGCAAACUGAAUUCCUGUAAGCACUGUGUUUUUGGGAAGCAAAAGAGAGUUCGAUUCACUAGAGGAAUCCAUAACACGAAGGGAACGUUGAAGUAUAUUCAUUCUGAUCUGUGGGGGCCAUCCAGAGUGCCUUCGAGAGGUGGAGCUAAUUAUAUGCUAACCUUUAUUGAUAAUUUUUCCAAAAAAGUUUGGGCAUUCUUCCUGAAGCAGAAAAGUGAUGUGUUUUCCAUAUUUAAGUCUUGGAAAAUUAUGAUUGAAAAACAGACGGGAAAACAGAUAAAAUACCUCCAUACAGACAAUGGCUUAGAGUUCUGUUCUGAUGAGUUUAAUAGAUUGUGCAAGUCAGAAGGGAUCAUGAGACACUUGACAAUUUGUCAUACUCCACAGUAAAACGGCGUUGCAGAACGAAUGAACAGAACGAUCAUGGAGAAGGUUCGAUGUAUGUUGUCAAAUGCCAACUUACCGAAGUCAUUUUGGGCAAAAGCAGCCUCUACUGCAUGUUUUUUGAUUAACCGAUCUUUAUCCGUUGCCAUUGAGAAAAAGACUCCACAAGAGGUAUGGUCUGGUAAUCUUGCUAAUUAUUCUGAUUUAAAGAUUCUUGGGUGUCCUGCGUAUGCUCAUGUUGAUAAUGGAAAAUUGGAACCGAGAUCCAUUAAAUGCAUUUUUCUUGGUUAUAAAGCUGGUGUAAAAGGGUAUAAGUUAUGGUGUCCUGAAAAUAGAAAAGUUGUGAUUAGCAGAGAUGUUGUUUUUGAUGAAACUACUAUGCUACCUAACUUAUCUCUUAAAGACUCCUCCAAUAAAGAAAGCCAAAAGUAGGUGGAGCAUCAGAUUAAUACAGAGUCAACUCCUUAAGCUAUAAUAAAAAUUGAGAAUAGAGUUUCUUCUUCACCAUAAUACUCUAUCGCCAAAAACAGAACUAGAAGAGAAAUUAAACCUCCAAAGAAGUAUGCCGAAGCUAAUAUAGUUGCUUAUGCUUUAAAUGUGGCUGAAGUUAUAGAUGCGAAUCAAGAGCCAUCUAAUUAUUCUGAGGCGGUUAGCUGUGAAGACUUAGAAAAGUGGAUGUUUGCUAUGCAAGAAGAGAUAGAAUCACUCUACAAAAAUAGAACAUGGGACCUUGUGAAACUUCCUAAAGGUAAAAGGGUUGUUCGUUGUAAAUGGGUGUUUAAAAAGAAAGAAGGGACUCCAGGAGUUGAAAAACCCAGAUAUAAAGCAAGACUUGUUGCAAAGGGUUAUAGUCAAAUUCCAUAAGUGGACUUCACAGAUGUGUUCUCUCCAGUUGUUAAGCAUAGUUCGAUUCGAGCUUUGCUUGGUAUUGUCGCCAUGCAUGAUUUGGAGCUUGAGCAGUUAGAUGUAAAAACUGCAUUUCUGUAUGGAGAACUUGAGGAGGAUAUUUACAUGCAACAACCAGAGGGUUUUAUAGUCUCAAAAAAAGAGGACUAUGUUUGCUUGCUGAGAAAGUCCCUUUGCGGUUUGAAACAGUCACCAAGACAGUGGUACAAGAGGUUUGAUUCUUUUAUGACUUCUCAUGAUUUCAAAAGAUGUAGUUUAGACAGUUGUGUUUACUUUAAGAAAAACAGUGAUGGUUCUUUUGUAUAUCUACUUCUUUAUGCUGAUGAUAUGUUGAUAGCAGCAAAAGAUAAAUGAGAGAUAAGAAAGAUCAAAGCCCAACUAAGUGAAGAAUUUAAGAUGAAAGAUUUAGGACCAGCAAAGAAGAUAUUUGGUAUGGAGAUUCUCAGAGAUAGAAAAGCAAGUAAAUUGUACCUAAGUCAGAAGGGGUACAUUGAGAAAGUUCUUUGUAGGUUCAAUAUGCAGAGUGCUAAGCCUGUUAGUACUCCUUUAGCAGCCCAUUUUAGACUUUCAUCGGCUUUGUCUCCACAAUCAGAUGAUGAGAUUGAGUACAUGUCACAUGUUCCAUACUCUAGUACUGUAGUGGGAUCUCUCAUGUAUGCUAUGGUUUGCUCAUGUCCAGAUUUAUCAUAUGCAGUCAGUGCAGUUAGCAGAUACAUGGCAAAUCCCGGUAAAGAACAUUGGAAAGCAGUUCAGUGGAUUUUAAGAUACUUACGAGGCACUACUGAUGUUUGCUUACAGUUUAGAAGAACUAAAGAUGGAGUCAUAGGGUAUGUUGAUGCUGAUUUUGCUGGAGACCUUGAUAGAAGAAGAUCUCUCACAGGUUACGUCUUUACAAUAGGAUGUUGUACAAUUAGUUGGAAAGCCACUUUGCAAACUACAGUCGCUUUGUCUACCACUGAAGCUGAGUAUAUGGUGAUUACUGAGGCUUGUAAAAAAGCUAUUUGGUUGAAGGGACUAUUUAGUGAACUCAAUGAAGACCUUCAAAUCAGUACAGUAUUUUGUGACAGUCAGAGUGCCAUCUUCCUUACAAAAGAUCAAAUGUUUCAUGAGAGAACAAAACAUAUUGAUGUUCGGUAUCAUUUUGUUCAUGAUAUUAUUGCUCGUGGUGAUAUUGUUGUGAGCAAAAUUAGUACUCAUGAAAAUCUUGCAGAUAUGAUGACUAAGUCAGUUCCUAUAACCAAGUUUGAGCAUUGCUUAGACUUGGUUGGUGUUCAUUGUUGAAGAUAAACCCUUAAGGGGUUUUAUGGAAGAGGUGGAGAACUUGUUCGCGAUGAAGAACUUGUUCAUUGAGAAUUUGUGUCAAGGUGGAGAUUGUUAGAAUUAAGUGACCCGAAUUCUUAUUUAAAUAAAAUACGAUGGAAAAUAAAAUAAAAGUAAAAUCCAUAUAGAACUAGACUUCUUUUAUUUUGUUUUAGAAUAAAGUUUUUUAAACCUUAUUAAACUCCAUCUAUUUUAUAUUUAUUAGGAUAAAGUGGUUCAAUCCUACUAGAAUAUGGCUUUACAAGCCUAUAAAUAGACAUAGUCUAUUCCUCUUGUAUUGAUUCAAAUUUUCGACAUAAUAAAUUUUCUUCUUCUCUGGCCGUGAUUUUUUCCCGAAAGAGUUUUCACGUAAAAUUUGUGUGUUCUUUAUUUUAUUUUUUUUCACAGUCACAUAUUAACUUAACAUUAACUUAUGAAUUGAAAACAUCACCAUGAUAAAUACAUUUGACGUAUUCAUAUGUUUAAAUUAUGUUUUACUUACACUUUAAUCUAUUUUUUAUUUUAAUAUCGUACAUAUGUCAUGUGUUGUUAUUAUUAUUAAUUAGUUUCAAACCAUACAUUUCAUUAUUUAUCACAUGUUAUUUUAAAAUAAAAAUUUAUGUUCUAUAUUGUUUAUUUUAAUAUCGCACAUAUGUCAUGUGUUAUUUUAUAUUUUAAAUAGUUUUUAUGUAUUUUUAUAGUUUAUAUUUUUUCUCUUUUUAAAUAAUUUUAAUAAAAUUUUAAAAAAAUAGUCAUUUUUAAAGAUUUUUUAAGGUUUUUUUAUGAUAAUAUGACAUCAACGUAUGACAUGUGGUAGUAUAUGAUUAGUUGAAUAUCCAAGCGACAACCAAUUUUUAUUGUCCAAUUGGCUAAAUUAAAAAUGCCUACUAAUGUUAGGGAUUGAAGUGGAUAAAAAAAACUUAAAGACUAAAGUUAGAAAAAUGAUAUAGUUCAAGGACCAAAAUGUGUAUUAAGAUUUUUUAAAAGAUGAUUUUUUUUUUUUUUGGAAGGGAAUGGAAUUUCUUUUAAGUGAAUUAUAGUUUCUUGAGAGAGUAGUAAUUUUCUAGUAGUCAGUAAGUUUAAUAAUAUUAUCAUUAAAGAUAAGCUAUUUGAUUUUUAUAUAAUUUUUUAAUUAAAUUAAUAUCACAAAUGGAGUAAAACCAAUCAUAGUAAGCACAUUAUUAUAGUAAUUUAGAUUAAUAGGAAUUAUCAAAUUUAUGAUUAAGGAUUAUAAAUUUAUUUAAUUCCAAUCUUAUACCUUUUUAAAUUAUAAGAAUGGUUUUUUUUGUCUCUAUACUUUGCUUAAAUUGAGAUUUAAUUUAUAACUUUAAUUUUAACAUAAUUUGGUAUUUCAACUUUUAUAAUGUUAUUAGUUAGUUUAAAUAUUUUAUUCUAAUUAAAAUGAUUGUAUGAAUUUUAAAGAAUUAUUAGCACCGUUAAAUUUUUUUAUACUAAAUUUAGGUUUAUUAUAAUUUUUUUGUUACAUAGAUACCAAGUUUAUUUUAUUUUUCAAAAUGCUACAUCAACACUAAAUUUUUUUUAACAAUAUUAACAAAUAGACCUAAAAUUUUCAAUCCGAAAAGUAAAUGAACUAAAUCCCAAAAGAAUAAAAAAGUAAAAAUUAAAUUUUAAAUAUUUGAAGAAUACAAAAAUUUGGAGUAAAUUGUAACUUUUAAAUUUUAUACAAUAAUGUAAUAAAAAAUAAAUAAUUAACUAGAUAAAAAUAAUAUAAAUUUACUUUAAACUUGUGUUUUCCUUUCCCUUUCUGGCAUUUUAAUUUACUUAAUUAAUUUAAUUAAGCCGAAAGCCUGAAACCAUUUUCUAAUUGAUUUUAUCAAUUCACAGCUAGACAAGAUCUGUAAUUCGGCCUGUUACCCUACUGCUUAGGGGGUUAAGGCUCACCGUAUUCGAUUUACUCCGCUACUACUUAGGGAGAUAAGAUCUGUAAUUCGGCCUAUUACCUUACUGCUUACGGGGUUAAGGCUCACCGUCUUUGAUUUACUCUGCUACUACUUAGGGAGAUAAGAUCUGUAAUUCGGCCUGCUACCCUACUGCUUAGGGGGUUAAGGCUCACCGUCUUCGAUCUACUUCGCUACUGCUUAGGGAGAUAAGAUCUGUAAUUCAGCCUGUUAACCUACUGCUUAGGGGGUUAAGGCUUACUGUCUUCGAUCUACAUUACCCUACUGCUUAGGGGGUUACAUUUGCUUUUGAGCUUGUGUCGGUGUGAUUUUAGGACCACAUGGUUAGCCACACGGGCGCAUGCCGAUUCACACGGCCGUGUGGAAUUGAGGAUUAGGGUUUUUAGGCAAAUUUUGGUGCCACGCGGUCGUUUAGCUGAUUUGGGGAUUUAGUCGACUUCCACACAGCUGUGUCUCGAGGUCACACGGGCGUGUACAUUUGGUAAUUAGGGUUAGGUGAUUUGGUACCACAUGACUUGGCCACAUGGCCGUGUGGCUAAUUUUGAAGAUUUAGGGACUUAGUCAAUUUUCCACACAAAAGUGUGUUCUAGACACACGGUCGUGUCUGCCCUAUACCUUAUUUUGGCACAAACGGACAGAGAGUUACACGACCUAUUCACACGGCCAUGUCUCGGGGUCACACGAGUGUGUGCCUCUUUUCAUACGGGUGUGUGUCCCUCCACAUGGGUGUGUUGACUCUCACACGGCCUAAGCAUUUCUACAACAGCCAUGUGGCCCUAGUUCGUAAAUUCUUAUUUUGAGUUACAUUGUGACUGAUUCGUGUAUCUGUGUGUUUCGACCCUUGGCUAGGCCUUAGCAAAGGUAGUUGAUACUCUGUUUCAGCUCGGUCUUAUGCUAUAUUUGUGAUCGUUGCACUACUUAAAUGAUUGCUUAAGUGUUAGGUACUAUUAUAACUGAUUCUGAAUUUGGACGAUUAAAUGUAUACACUAUGGUUCUGUUGACUGUCUGCAUGUUGUGUACAUUGAUUCUAUAAGUCUGUUUGCGUAUAGGCAUUCGCAUAAAAUAUCUGAAUUUUAUUUUUGUGUGUCUGUCUCCAUAAGGAGUGCAUUUUGCAUUUGCAUUAUAAUUUUGGGUUUGGUUAAGAAGAGAAGGGAGUCUGAUCUGUUUUGAGCAGCUUAAACUGUGAUUCUUUAGUACAGCGGUUAACCACACUGUACUACAUAUACGUUAGCUUUGCUGUGUAUUAUCAUUUGAGUGGCCUAGUCCACGUCGUGGUGUGUAGGGUUGGAUGGGCCUUUCGAGGUCCAAUGUGGUGUGCAUGGUUGGUAGGGCUUCACAUAGCUCUUUUGUGGUGUGAACGGAGGACGGAGAGGUGUUUGGCUAGAUGGGUGUGCUUUUAAUACUUGUCGCAUUUAUAAGCAUCUGAUUUGGUGAAUGAAUAUGAUUUUAUCUAUCUGUAUUCUAUUUGGUUCUGAGUUUGUAUCCCAACAUAAAUAAGUACUGAAAUUUCGAUGAUAUGAUAGUUUAAAAUGUUUUGAAUUUGCUAAAACAUGAUUGGUGUGAUCAAAUGAAUGUUUCGUAUAUCUGAUAGUAUGUGACUUGAUCUUUAAUCACUUGCUAUUUAGUUUGGUUUCAAAUUCACACUAAGCUCAUGUAGCUCCCCGCUUAGUUUUCCCUUUCAGGUACCUUCUCGAUUUUUAUAGCUGGACUUGGUAUGCCAGAGGUCUCAGAUUUUAAAAUGAGCUAUUUGGUUCCCUUCUCAGUUCUUAGUUUUGUUAAAUUGUUUUGGAUUGUAAUUAAUUUUAAGAACUGUGACAAAAGGGUUUAUUCGGAUUUCCGCAUAAUGCUAUCAUGGACUGAACUUUUCAUUUGAAACUGCAAAACUAAGUUUUCAAACACUUUAAUGCAUCUUGAGAAUCUCUAUUUUAAAAAAAAUAAACAUUUUUUCGAAUUUGAAAAAAUGUGUCUGUAACGGAAUUUUAGAUAAUAUAUUUUGUAAAUUUUUUCUAUGAUCGCUUCGGUGAUCAAUGUGACCUCUAAAAUUUGGUUGAAACUUCUAGGUCAGGUUUUGCAGCGUUACACAUCAUCUCACAUAAGGUUAUUCAUUCUAUAAAGAGUCGAAAAAAGAACAAAAGAUGGUUGGCUGUCAAAAUUAAUAUGGAAAAUGCAUAUGAUUGUGUUCGGUGGGAGUUUAUUGAGGGUUGUUUACAGGCUAUAGGUAUCCCUAAUUUUCUCAUUAAUGUAAUUAUGUCUGCUAUUACUAACUCUACCUUGCAGAUUUUUAGAAUGGCGUUCCUACACAAAAAUUUAACUCGGCUAAAGGGGUUCGUCAAGGUUGCCCUCUAUCUCCGUGCUUAUUUGUCUUAUGUAUGGAGUGGUUUGGUCACAGCAUUCAAGCUCACAUUGACUCAAAACUUGGGGUUCCGAUUAGAUUGACUCGUUUGGGUCCACCUCUUUCUCACUUUCUUUUUGUAGAUAACCUCAUUAUUUUUUGUCAAGCCAAUGUUCAACAAGCCCACGUUCUCAAAUGUGUAUUGAACAGUUUUUUUGAAUUUUCUGGACAUUGAAUAAAUGCACAAAAAACCAACAUGAUUUUCUUUAAGAGGGUUGAUGAGGAUUUAGCUUGGGAGAUUAGUAACCUUUUGGGGUUUCAUAAAAUGAAUAAUCUAGGAACUUAUUUAGGUGUACCACUCAUCCAUGAGUGAGUUACAAAUGGCACCCUAAGGUUCAUCGUGGACAAGAUUUGUUGCAAGUUGAAUAGUUGGGAUGCGUGGAAACUUUCUCUGGCUGAAGGGGCUACAUUUGCUCAACCAGUUCUUCUAGUGAUAUUAAGUUUUUUUACGCACUCUAUGAUUAUUCCCAAAGGUAUUUGUGAUGAGAUUGAGUGUUUGGUAAGACAAUUUAUAUGAGGACCUUCUAAUAGAGGUAAAAAAAUAGUGUUGGUUUGUUGGGAUUCGGUUUGUCAACGAUGACUGACUGGUGGUUUGAGGUUAAAUAGGAAUAGGAUCAUAACAUGGCUUUCAUGAUAAAAAUCAAUUUUAAAAUCGUAUCAGCCUUAGAAGCUAUGUGGGUUCAUGUCCUGAAGUAUAAAUAUAGAGUCUAGAAUGGCUUACCGGAAACCUUGGCUCAAUGUAGUGGUUCCUUUUUUUGGAGAAGUCUGGCAAAAGUUUGGCCAAUCAUUUGAGAAAACUUAAUUUGGUCAAUGAGAGAUGGCUACAGUAUUAAAUACUAGAAAGAUCCUUGGAUUCCUACAGUUGGUCCUCUUUGUAAGCUUAUCCCAUCUCAUUUUAAUUUGGCGAUGGAUUGCCCACUUACAUGGUUACCCAAAAGAGAGUGUUUGGCAACUUUCAUAGAAAUUCGAGAAACCUCAAAGGGUUAAAUACUUCAUAUGGCUUGCCAUCCAGAAAUGUCUGCUAACUAAUGUGGAAAGAAUGAUGAGGCGUAUUAAUAUGGAUAGUUCUUAUGGGUACUGUAAUUUCGAGGUUGAAGAUGUGGUACACGCCUUAAGAGAUUGUCCUGUAGCUAGAGAUAUUUGGGAAAUUAUUGUCCCUAAGGAUAAGAUACCUCUAUUCUUCUCACGAGACCUAAUAGAGUGGCUAGGUUUGGAUAUGCAAAAUCAUCAUCAAAUACAUCUAGGGGAUAUUGAUUGACAAUGUUUCUUUUGUCUUAUUGUGCGGCGAAUAUGGAAAAAUCAUAAUUUACUUUUAUUUUAGGGUAUUCCAUGGAGUGUAAAUGAUAUUACCAAAGUAUCCUAUAGUUAGGCUAAACACUAUGGACUCUCUAAUAAUAAGGUAACUAAGGACGCUUUGUAUAUCCCAAUACCACCUUUGAUCUUAGGCAAUAAUUGGGUUCACUUAAGAUUUGAUGGUUUUGUUAAUGAGGGAAUCAGUUUUGCUGCAGUUGGGGGUGUUUUGCAAGAACAGAAUAGAGGAUGGAUUCUAGGUUACAACAAGUACUUGGGCUUUCGUUCUAUUACAGAAGCUGAAUUCUAGGGCAUCUUAGAUGGAGUAACGCUUCUUUUGGAAUGGAAAUACAAAUGAUAAUUCAAACUGACAACAUGGAGAUAGUCGUAGCAAUUCAGAAUGAGGCCCGUAAUAAGUUAGACUCUACUCUGAUCAGGAGAAUUCACCAAAAUUUAUCCAAAGUAAGACAUUGGGGCAUUGAACAUAUCCCUAGAGAACAUAAUGGAGAAACUGAUGGAAUUACAAGACAAGUUAAAGAUAGGAGAGAAGGCCUUCAAAUUUUUGAAGUUUCCCCAUUG
rnacentral:lncRNA from 1 species